rnacentral:rRNA from 1 species
GAAUUUUCCGCAAUGGGCGUAAGCCUGACGGAGCGACACCGCGUGGUGGAUGAAGCUUUUCGGAGUGUAAACACCUUUUCUGAGGGAAGAAGAUCUGACGGUACCUCAGGAAUAAGGACCGGCUAAUUACGUGCCAGCAGCCGCGGUAAUACGUAAGGUCCAAGCGUUAACCGGAAUCAUUGGGCGUAAAGCGUCCGCAGGUGGUGCAUUAAGUGGAUUAUUAAAUACCAGUGCUCAACAUUGGUGCUGUAGUCCAAACUGGUGUACUAGAGUGAUGGAGAGGUGCGUGGAAUUGUGCAAGUAGGGGUAAAAUCCGUAGAUAUGCACAGGAACACCAAAAGCGAAGGCAGCGCACUGGCCAUUUACUGACGCUCAGGGACGAAAGCGUGGGGAGCGAAAGGGAUUAGAUACCCCUGUAGUC